UAUACAACAAAUGAAUGAAAGAAAGAGAGAGAGAGAGAGAGAGAAAGAGACCAUGGGUACACCUUUUGUAAAUUUUAUGUAGUUCGCGAAUAUUCCUUUAUACAUUUCUGUCUCUACUUAUUAUUCUGUUCUUUCACUAACUACAGUAUUCUUCAUAUGAAACAGA
rnacentral:ribozyme from 14 species